rnacentral:rRNA from 1 species
GACGAACGCUGGCGGCGUGCUUAACACAUGCAAGUCGAACGGAAAGGCCUUGUUUUCGUGGGGUGUUCGAGUGGCGAACGGGUGAGAAACACGUGAGUAACCUGCCUUUGAUUCUGGGAUAUCUUCAGGAAACUGGGGCUAAUAGGGGUAAUGAGCUCCUGCGGCAUGGUGGGGGUUGGAAAGUUUCGGCGGUUGGGGUUGGACUCGCGGCUUAUCAGCUUGUUGGUGGGGUAGUGGCUUACCAAGGCUUUGACGGGUAGCGGGCCUGAGAGGGGGGCCGGCCACAUGGGGACUGCGAUACGGCCCAGACUCCUACGGGAGGCAGCAGUGGGGAAUAUUGCACAAUGGGCGGAAGCCUGAUGCAGCGACGCCGCGUGCGGGAUGACGGCCUUCGGGUUGUAAACCGCUUUCGCCUGUGACGAAGCGUGAGUGACGGUAAUGGGUAAAGAAGCACCGGCUAACUACGUG